rnacentral:rRNA from 1 species
UAAUGGGUCAGCGACUUAUAUUCUGUAGCAAGGUUAACCGAAUAGGGGAGCCGAAGGGAAACCGAGUCUUAACUGGGCGUUAAGUUGCAGGGUAUAGACCCGAAACCCGGUGAUCUAGCCAUGGGCAGGUUGAAGGUUGGGUAACACUAACUGGAGGACCGAACCGACUAAUGUUGAAAAAUUAGCGGAUGACUUGUGGCUGGGGGUGAAAGGCCAAUCAAACCGGGAGAUAGCUGGUUCUCCCCGAAAGCUAUUUAGGUAGCGCCUCGUGAAUUCAUCUCCGGGGGUAGAGCACUGUUUCGGCAAGGGGGUCAUCCCGACUUACCAACCCGAUGCAAACUGCGAAUACCGGAGAAUGUUAUCACGGGAGACACACGGCGGGUGCUAACGUCCGUCGUGAAGAGGGAAACAACCCAGACCGCCAGCUAAGGUCCCAAAGUCAUGGUUAAGUGGGAAACGAUGUGGGAAGGCCCAGACAGCCAGGAUGUUGGCUUAGAAGCAGCCAUCAUUUAAAGAAAGCGUAAUAGCUCACUGGUCGAGUCGGCCUGCGCGGAAGAUGUAACGGGGCUAAACCAUGCACCGAAGCUGCGGCAGCGACGCUUAUGCGUUGUUGGGUAGGGGAGCGUU